rnacentral:rRNA from 1 species
CCUACGGGGGGCAGCAGUGGGGAAUAUUGGGCAAUGGGCGCAAGCCUGACCCAGCAACGCCGCGUGAAGGAAGAAGGCUUUCGGGUUGUAAACUUCUUUUCUCAGGGACGAAGCAAGUGACGGUACCUGCGGAAUAAGCCACGGCUAACUACGGGCCAGCAGCCGCGGUAAUACGUAGGUGGCAAGCGUUAUCCGGAUUUACUGGGUGUAAAGGGCGUGUAGGCGGGAAAGCAAGUCAGAUGUGAAAACCAUGGGCUCAACCUGUGGCCUGCAUUUGAAACUGUUUUUCUUGAGUACUGGAGAGGCAGACGGAAUUCCUAGUGUAGCGGUGAAAUGCGUAGAUAUUAGGAGGAACACCAGUGGCGAAGGCGGUCUGCUGGACAGCAACUGACGCUGAGGCGCGAAAGCGUGGGGAGCAAACAGGAUUAGAUACCCCAGUAGUC